rnacentral:rRNA from 1 species
AGCAGCCGCGGUAAUUCCAGCUCCAAUAGCGUAUAUUAAAGUUGUUGCAGUUAAAAAGCUCGUAGUUGAAUUUCGAGACCGGUUUAUUGGUCGUGCUUUUGUACGUACUGGUAUUAUUGGUUUCUCCUUUCUGACGAAUCUUAAUGCCAUUAAUUUGGUGUUUUGGGGAAUCAGGACUGUUACUUUGAAAAAAUUAGAGUGUUUAAAGCAGGCUCACGCUUGAAUACAUUAGCAUGGAAUAACGGAAUAGGACGUUUGAUUCUAUUUUGUUGGUUUCUAGGAUCGACGUAAUGAUUAAUAGGGAUAGUUGGGGGCAUUAGUAUUCAAUUGUCAGAGGUGAAAUUCUUGGAUUUAUUGAAGACUAACUACUGCGAAAGCAUUUGCCAAGGAUGUUUUCAUUAAUCAAGAACGAAAGUUAGGGGAUCGAAGACGAUCAGAUACCGUCGUAGUCUUAACCAUAAACUAUGCCGACUAGGGAUCGGAUGAUGUUAAUUUUUAAUGACUCAUUCGGCGCCUUACGG